CUCAUACUCCCUCCGUCCGGAAAUACUUGUCAUUGAAAUGGAUGUAUCUAGAUGUAUUUUAGUUGUAGAUACAUCCAUUUUCAUCCAUUUUGGUGACAAGUAUUUCCGGAUGGAGGGAGUACAUC
rnacentral:pre_miRNA from 1 species